CCAUGCGCAUGAAACCAAGAGAGUGAGAGAAGUCAGGCUGAAUUCAUUCCAAUGUUUUCAUAUCAUGUGUCUCACUCCUCAGCUUUGGUUUAGGGAAAAUCCGUCGUGGAAGAAUUCGCCACCGGCAGCGCGAAGAUCGAAACAUAAUCAAAGUAACAUCCAAACAUUGGUCCUUCUUCCCUCUCCCCUAAUCCCCUAUCAUUUUCCUAUGAUUCUAACCAAAUUCUCAAAUCGAUUGGAAAGUUAUCGGAACCCUAGCAGCUUAAAAUAACAAUUAAGUAAUAAUGGAGGAGAAUCUUCAAUGGCUGCAACACUGAGCUUUAGGUGAGGGUUUGGUGAGAGAGUCUGAUAGUGAGUAGGGGAGAUGAAGAUUUGAGCAAUGAUUGUGAAGAAUGGUGAAAUUAUGGUUUUGAGAUGUUUGUGGAUUGUGAUUGGUUCCCCCUGAAAUGAUGAAUGGCUUGGUGAAUUUAUAGUGAUUGAUUGUUAACACUGUUAGAUGUUGUUAAUUUGGCCUAGUGUAAGUUAGUUAGGAAAUGGAUUAUGUUAUCACAUUGUUAGAAAUUUCUGUUAAGGUUAGUUAAUAUUCAUUUUAGAGUUAGUGAAAUAGUUAGUUAUGCUUGGAUUCAGUUAGAGCUAAUUACUCUGUUAGUUGAAUGCUAAUUAUAGUUAGCUAAGUGUAAUUGGAUGUUAGUUGUAUUUGAUGUUAUUUUGAACUGGUAAUUGACUUGUUAACUGUGAUAGUUAGUUGAAAUUUUUUGUUAUGAAGUUAAGUGUUAGAAUGAGUUCUUGAACUGAAAUUAUUGACAUGGUACUGUUAUGAAAUUCAGAGAUGUUAGUUGUUUUGUUGGCUGCUAGUGAAUUUGUUAGCCUUACCAAGUCAUGACUCAUAUGGACCAAAUGAAUGAACUAAUGUAGAGCAGGGGCUUGCUUGGAAUGCUAAUUGAUCCAAGUUAGAAUUGUUAUGGUUAAUGUCUUAUACAAACUAUUAUUUAUGUGUAUGUGCACUAAGUUGUUGAUAUGUAAUUUUAAAUGCUUGGUUUGGUUUGGGAAUGAAAUGUAUGGCUUGUUAAGUUGUAGUUUGAAACAUCAUUAAGUUAUUGAAUGUGAAUUAUUGCAUGCCAUGGUUUGGACAAUUGCUUGAACUGUUUUGAAAUGGGCUUGAUUUGCUAAUGGUUGAAUAUUUGUGUAGGGUGGAAGGGUAAGGUUGAGCAAGGAUUGAAGACUUGGAGUUUUGGCAACAAAAUCAAGAGUUAUGAAGAACAAAACCAUGGAUAGCUUGGAAGUGAAGAAAGUUUUGUAACUAGGAUUAGGAUUAGUAGAGUUAACUUUGGUAAAAUGGUUGAUCAAAAAGUCAACAGUUGACCAAAGUCAAUUGUAGGUCCAAGUUGUGAUAUUUUUUGUGUAGGUAUUGAUUUGUGCAAUGUAAUUUGAUAUGAACCAUUGUAUGAAAAUGAACUUAUAACUUGAUCUUUAAAUAAAUUUUCCUCUAAUUUAUGACCUUAACCUUAUGUUAA
rnacentral:lncRNA from 1 species